AACCUUAUGGACCUGCGGGCGUAUACCUGCGGAAGGAUCAUUACAGAGUUAUCCAACUCCCAAACCCAUGUGAACUUAUCUCUUUGUUGCCUCGGCGCAAGCUACCCGGGACCCCGCGCCCCGGGCGGCCCGCCGGCGGACAAACCAAAACUCUUGUUAUCUUAGUUGAUUCUCUGAGCGUCUUAUUUAAUAAGUCAAAACUUUUAGCAAUGGAUCU
rnacentral:misc_RNA from 1 species